GACGAACGCUGGCGGCGUGCUUAACACAUGCAAGUCGAACGGUAAGGCCCUUCGGGGUACACGAGUGGCGAACGGGUGAGUAACACGUGGGUGAUCUGCCCUGCACUUCGGGAUAAGCCUGGGAAACUGGGUCUAAUACCGGAUAGGACCACUGCCUGCAUGGGUGGUGGUGGAAAGCUUUUGCGGUGUGGGAUGGGCCCGCGGCCUAUGAGCUUGUUGGUGGGGUGAUGGCCUACCAAGGCGACGACGGGUAGCCGGCCUGAGAGGGUGACCAGCCACACUGGGACUGAGAUAGGGCCCAGACUGCUACUGGAGGCAGGAGUGGGGAAUAUUGCACAAUGGGCGCAAGCCUGAUGCAGCGACGCCGCGUGAGGGAUGACGGCCUUCGGGUUGUAAACCUCUUUCAGCACCGACGAAGCGCAAGUGACGGUAGGUGCAGAAGAAGGACCGGCCAACUACGUGCCAGCCGCCGCAGUAA
rnacentral:rRNA from 1 species